rnacentral:tRNA from 1 species
AAUGAAGUGCCUGAUUAAAGGGUUAUCUUGAUAGGAUAAAUCAAGUAAAAUUUACCUUCAUUA